UACAGAGGGGGCAAGCGUUGUUCGGAAUUACUGGGCGUAAAGGGCGCGUAGGCGGCCCGCUAAGUCGAACGUGAAAUCCCCGGGCUCAACCCGGGAACUGCGUCCGAUACUGGCAGGCUUGAAUCCGGGAGAGGGAUGCGGAAUUCCAGGUGUAGCGGUGAAAUGCGUAGAUAUCUGGAGGAACACCGGAGGCGAAGGCGGCUUGCUGGGCGUGAUCUGACGCUGAGGCGCGAAAGCGUGGGGAGCAAACAGG
rnacentral:rRNA from 1 species